rnacentral:lncRNA from 1 species
AAUCAGUUGAAAACCUGAGUCGAACAAAAAGAUUGACUCUCCCAUUAGUAACAGAAUUCUCCAGCUAACUGCCUUCAGACUUCAUCUGCAGCAUCAACUCUUCCAGCCUGAUGACCUUUGAGCUGAACCUUUGCUCUCCCUGGAUCUCCCACUCCACUGGCCCACCCUGUGAUUUUGAACUUACCAGUCUCCACAAUCGUGUGAGUCAAUUCCUUAAAAUAAAUCUCUCUGUCUCUCUCUUUUAUUGGUUCUGUUUCUCUGGAGAACCCUGGCUAAUACAGUAUGCCUGUGCUUGAUUUCUUCUGGUUAGGAAAGAAAGAAGUAACUCCUUUUGGACAAAGAAGGUCUGCUUACAAAUCAUUGGAAUUCAAAACACAGGACAUGAGCUUUAAUAAUGGCCCAAAGAUCGGCAAGAGGACAGAUGAGGAGCAGACAUGGAAAAGGAUCCCUGAAGGUAAAGAAUUUCAGGUUCAUCUCUGAAUCAAAAGGACGGAUUCUUCAUAGUUCAGGGUGAAGUCAGGUAGGAGGAUGUACACAAAGCAAAACAGGGAAAGUGUCUGCAGGUAGAGAAGGACAGGCACAAAUAAGCAAGUGUGUGUUUUGUAAAAUUUGAAGAUCUUUGGAUGAGCAAACACAGCCCACUGGCACAUGAUGAGAGGCAGGAUUCUUUGUCACUUACAGCUCCAAAUUAGAGGAGGCUGCUGCACAGGCCCAUGCACAGGAUUAUACUAGGGGACAGGCUUACAGCAAGCAGGAGCUACAAAAGGCAGCUUAUGUACAGCAAACAGUAUAGUAGGUUAUAUAUAACCAAACAGGGUAUAUAGGGGUAGUUAGGUUUUUGGGGCUUUCUAGGGAUUGGCUAAUUUGAAUAAUUAAUUACACAGCUCUAGAGCAUGGAGACUAUUGUUUAGUAUCUGGUACAGGAGUGUGAAAGCUCCCUAAAUGGGGGCCUUUGUGAGAUGAUUCUUAACGGCCCCAGAGAGUAGGAACCUGAUAAGAAAAGUGCUUGCUUUUUUUGUUGGGGGAGGGGGAGACUUCUUAGCAAAUCGUCCUAAAAGAGGAAUUGAGAGUUUCUAGCCAUGACUUCAAAAUUGGGUCAAGACAGCCCUUGUGAAAUACUACGUUUUGGAGAAUGUAAGUGCACUGUACUUAGCUUGAGUUAAGGCAUUACUUUAUAAAAUUAGAUUGAGACCAGAUCUUGGGGAGC